rnacentral:lncRNA from 1 species
UUCUAUUGACCACAUAAAUUUUUGGCUCCUCAACCCAAUCUCUUCGUUGCCGUUGGGUUAUGUGAUCUUCAAGUUCAAAGUCAUUUGAGGAUCUCUCAAUUAAUUGGAAGCUGAGAAGAGACUAUUUUAAGGGGCUCUUGAAAGCCCUGUAGAUGAAGCUACACUCCAAUUGCAACUUGAGUCGCAAGGGCUCGAUUCCCCUUAUUUGAAUGGAAGAUGAUGGGAGGGAAAAAAAAAUAAAGAUGAGAGGGAAGGGUGCAAGAAUGACAGCGGCCAGGGAGAGAUCAAGGCUAGGGGGUUGAGGCUUCGUCUGGUUGGUGCCGACGCUUCUUUCGGUAGUCACCGGCGAUGAGGGAGGAGGGGACUGGGAGGAAGCCACGAUCCGGAGGGGGCGGGGGGCUCUUCUACUGGACCAAGUUAGAAGACGGAGAAAGGGCUAGGAGAGUUAGGGCUCGCGACGAGGACCUGGGACAGCCUCUUCCAAUAGCCACCGACGACGACAGAGGAGGAGAUCGAGAGGAGGGCAUGACAGAUAGUGGGGGUGCAGCUGCUUGCUCUGCCCUUGGAUUUCUCGGUUGUCUUCUGAAAACCACGAAUGAUGAGAGCGGAUCGUGAGUAGGGGGGCUCAGCUGCUCGACCAAGCUAGAAGACGGAGAAGGGCCCGAGAGAGAUCGAUGCUGGGAGUCGUGAUCUUGGACCGGUUGGCAUCGGCCUCUUCGAUCUAGAAAUCGGCGACAAUGAGGGAGGAGGGGAUCAGGAAGAGGGCAUUGUAGAGGACCUCAAGGAGGAGAGGACUCGAAGGUAUGAAAGAGUCGAAGAUAGGAGGAGAGAGGGUGCGCUUGGGGUCCAAAGCUCGUGUUGUAACAAAAGCCCGUAGGGUGACCUGGUGUCGUGGUCUCGAGUCUCCCAAUCGGUGGGCUGGUUCGUUUCGUAACUGGCACCUGCAGUAUUGCUUCAUCUGCAGCGC